GUACACGCUGUGACUAGCAUAUCAAUAAGCGGAGGAAAAGAAACUAACAAGGAUUCCCCUAGUAACGGCGAGUGAAGCGGGAAGAGCUCAAAUUUGAAAUCUUAAAGGGUUUCCCUUUACGAAUUGUAGUUUAAAGAAGAGUUUUCUGUUGAGGUUUUGGUAAAAGUUCUUUGGAAUAGGACAUCAUAGAGGGUGAGAAUCCCGUAUUUGACCUUUACUUUCAACUUUGUGAUACACUUUCAAAGAGUCGGAUUGUUUGGGAAUGCAGUCCAAAAUGGGUGGUAAAUUUCAUCUAAAGCUAAAUAUUGGCGAGAGACCGAUAGCGAACAAGUACCGUGAGGGAAAGAUGAAAAGAACUUUGAAAAGAGAGUUAAACAGUACGUGAAAUUGUCAAAAGGGAAGCGUUUGACACCAGUGUUGUUUUUCUGAAAAUCAAUUAAAGAACUGUUUAUGCUAAGUUGUUUAGACUUUAUCAGCUAUCUGUUUAGUUUUGAGCUUUUCUUUAAUGCACUUUUCAGUUAACAAGUCAACAUCAAUUUCUUUUGCUGUAAAAAAGCUUGAGGAAGGUGGCUUGAGAUUCGUCUUAAGUGUUUAUAGCCUCUUGCCUAUGCAGUCGGAGAGAUUGAGGUCUGCAGCGUAGAUCCUUCGGGGCUAAAUGCAUUUGUGCUAAGUUAUAGCAUUUUAUAGACAACUUGUUGACUAUGAUUUGUCUUGUAGCUUACUCGCUUAUGUUAUUUUACCUACGCUUAGGAUGUUGAUAUGCAUGACUGAUAU
rnacentral:rRNA from 1 species